rnacentral:lncRNA from 1 species
UCAGAGUACGAACAGGUGCUGUACCAAAUGUUAGCCAAAGGAAUUUUACUUCUUGACCUUCCACAAGGCCAGGAUUGUGGUGAAAAUAAUAAUAAACGGUGUAUGAUUUCUUAAUUAUUAUAAGAUAGAAGAACUUAUUUAUGGGGUUACAAAUAGUAAUAAUGCUAUCAAGCACUAAUGGUGUUAAGCACCAGUUUAAAUGUUAGCAUAUCAUAGGUCCUAUUAAAUGAGCCAUAAUUUUUGUACUUGUAAUUUAAUGCUACUAGUGCUAUCACCUAAACUGAUGUUAAAUAUCAGUGGUGCUAAUUAACAUUACUCUAAAAGAAAAGAUUGUGUAAUAAUCUCAAAAUCAACUACAAAAGGAAAAUAAUCCCAAUAUUGGGAAAAUAUAAAAAGGAAUAAUAUCGCAAUCUUUUCAUAUCUCCAACAUCCAUACUCAAACUCAAUAUGGUGUCAUGGAAACCAAAUUGAGUUUGAAAACUACAAUGAUCCAAGCAAAUCAUCCUCUUCCAAAGGUUAAUUUCCCGCAGCUUGUUUGCGUUCGAAAGCGUGUCUUAUGCUUGCAUCACAUUUUAGAAAGUUAAGAAUUUGUUUUUUUAUCAAUCAAGCAUACUUUUGUUACCUUCCUCAUUAAUGAUCAAAUGCAAAUGUGAUGUUUGCAUAUCUAAAUACUGAACUCUGACUUCUAUCUGUUUUUCUUUUCACGCUACUUUUGCUGUCAGGUUCAUUGCUGUCCCGGAGAGAGGCAGCUGGUUUACAGCCUCAAGGACCUGGUGUUACUAUAUCUUCCACCAGUGGGAAUUCUGGUCAAGAGGCUGCCGUAGGACUAAACCCAAAUACCUCUACUCAGGAUUCUGAAGUGCGGACAAUUCCUCUCAGGACCAUGAUUGCUGCUGUUCCUGCUUCUGGUGAACAUGGUUCUGAUUCACCUCAUGGUUCAGUCGGAAUGGUAUACCCUGUUUUAGCUAGAGUUCAAAAUGUAACUUCUGGAAAUUCGAAUGGCAUAAGAGCUUCUCAGGAAUCAGAGCAACAUCGUGGUCAGGAUGCUGACACUGAACAACAGACAAUGUCCGGUUCUGCAACACAGCAGCAAAAUAUUGGAGUCCCUGGAAGAAAUGGUGAGCGUACAUAUGAUUGGACACUUUUGACCCCAUUCACGAUUACCAUCCUAUCAUUCUUAUUAACUAACCACAAUUAUUAUCUUUAGGCAGCGGUACAACUAGUGAAGCAUCCCACAGGCAAGGAUUCGCAGCGCAGAUUCAAAGUGGACUUGGAGAACUGCUGAGGACAAUAUUUCCAGGUGAGCAUAUUUUUGGUGACAGUGUUGGCCCACCUCCAGCUGGAGCAACCCAAGAUUCCAGCGCUUCUCAGGAGGCAGCAGAAACAGCUAGUCGUGAAGGGAUAUUUUUGUCUAAUAUACUACAUCAGAUAAUGCCCAUUAUUCAAGAAAAUAGAGCUGAAGCCUCUAUUGGAGGUGCAAACUCAUCUGAACCCCAGGUAAAGAUACUCAGGGAUGUAACUCCAUUUUAAAAGAUCAAUUUUGGGUUUGGCUCAGAUAUUCAAUUGCAAAUUUCUGCAAUGGAAAGUACUAUCCGUUGCAGUCCAGUUUCAUUGAUGGUUCAAAUUAAGAUGCUUGCAGUUUGGAGCUAGAGGUGAAUAAUGCUGUGGCUAAGCAAUUUUUUGCAUGUGCAGGCUGAUGAAGACCAAUAUCAAGGGGCUUCUUCUAGUCAGCAACGUGGUCCUGAAUCUCAACCAAGUCCGAAACGCCCGAGGGUAUUAUUUUCUUCAUUCUUUCAGUUCAUCCUCAUUUUCUUCUCACCUCGCGUUGUCCCAAAUUUUUCUUCUACAGUCUUAGAAGGGAUUCAAGGGGAAAAUGUAAAGCCUAAUUUUACUUCUAUUUUGCGCAUUCAUUCUCUAUGUAAGAGUGAUUUUCCCUUUAAAUGAUGCAGAGGGAGUGAUCAGAAUUCCGGAUUCUAUGCGUGCUCAUCCUGGUCGGAAUCCUGCUUUUGAGGCCUUUGGCCAAAACUCGAAAUGAUGCUCAGAUGGUAUAGUGAGUUUGAAUGCAUUGGCAGCCGAGACAUUAGAGUGUAAAAUCAUAUAGAAAUUUUCUUUUUUCCCUGAGUUACUCCGUUUCUUCCAUCAUCCUUGCUUUUGUGCUUCUCAAUUGAUUAAUUUUUGUUAUUCUCGCCGGACUCGCACAUUAACCUUUGCACAAUGAAACCCACAUUUCAUUAUGGUCCGGAAAAAUAUAUUACAGAAUAAUGUUUGCCAUUCUUACUAACAAAAUUUAUUUUUCUGCCAAGUGGGAGUGGUUUUUGUUUGUUUGGACAGAGAAUUUUCCAUUGAUCGCCAUAGUUUAAUGGAGAAGUGCAACGCUGCAAGAAGGCUUCCUGAAACUGUACACUGUGUUUGCAUUAGCAUUCUAUGAUAGAAAAAUGUUAUCUUUUCUUGCAAUAGCAAGUCUAGAUUGAUACCUGACGACAGACGAUCUAUUCGCCUAACCAAAAAACUAUGGUAGCCACCAUCUUUAGAAGCAACAUACAUGGUAGCCACCAUCCUUAGAAGCAACAUACUGGUCAUCGCGAACCUCAAGGACGACUGAACGUUGGUGUCAUAUUGGGAACUUUGUGUCAUUGGAAGACUGGUUGGUUGAGGCAAUCGUUGGAGGCCGAAUGUACCUUGAUAAGAGUAUGUGUCUGCUACGUUAAAAAUAGGACGAGUAUUUAAAUGCAAUGGCAAGUCUUGUAGAUAAGGAUGUCAAUUGGGCCGAGCCGGCUCCGCUCGUCAAAGCUUGGCUCGUGGGCGACGAGCCCGAGCUCGAGCCGAGCGGGGGGUCUCGUCCAAAAAUGUGGAAAAAAAUAAAAUUUUAUCAAUCAAAUUUGAAAACUUUACGAAAAAAAUAAAUAAAUUCACGAGAUUACGAGCCGCUCGUGGGCUCUGAUCGGCUUGGCUCAUGAGCUCGUGAGUACACGAGCUCGUGGGCCGAAACGAGCUCACUCAGGAGCAACGAGCCGAGCCCGAUCUCGGCUUGUGAAAAACGAGCCACGAGCUCGGCUCGCCACAAGCCCGAGCCGAGCUCGUGGGUUAACGAGCUGAGCCGGCUCGACUCGACCCACUAUUAUCCCUACUUGCAGAUAAGCAUUUAUUUCUAGAAUUUUUUAAUGAUUUGAAAGGGACCACAGGGGGGUGACCGUAAGUUUUUUAAUAACAUGUUUAGGAAAAUAUUUUGAAAACCAUCACAUAAUCACCUACACUGAAAUUAUCUAUGCCUACGUUUGUAAAUUUCAUUUCUUAAAAGGAUAGUUGCAGUAGAGGUUUCAAACCUUUCAAACACUAGCAAACUUUUUUCAAACUUUUGAUUUGUUGCAAUCGUCACCCAUAAUCUUUUCAAACGUUACAGGUGUAACACCCAAUGGAUGGAAAACAUCCAUUUUACCGUUAAUUGACCAAAAAAUAGAGUUUGACCACAUUUUAAAUAUUUUUAGAAAGGACAAAAUAGUAACUUUCUAUUUAUUAAAUUAAAUAAUUAAAUUUAAAAAAUGAAAAAAGGGAGGGAAACUGUAUUUUCUUCCUCCCAUCCCUAAUUGAGCCAAAGUUUUUUGGCUGUUUUUGCUUACUGGAUUUUGCCAUGAAUCCGAAUAAAAUUGAAGAGGAUGUGUUUAGCAAAAUGGGUCCACUACCACCCCACCAUGAAUAGCUUAAUCUCAGGCUUCCACUGACGACGACGUCAUCGUCAGCAACACGAUGCUGAAUCUCCCCUAAUCUGUGAUCAGCCUCGAAACUCUAAUUCACUGGAUCUUGCUGCAAUUGAUGGUGUUAGGAGACAUUAGCGUUGCACAUUAGCCGGGUUGCUACGCCGAACGAGAUCCGAGCGGUGACUCCUGAUGACUUGCUGGCCAGCUAGAGAUUAGUGUGGAAGGACCGGAAUGAGGAUACCGCCUACUUGACUGCGUUGAAGCGUACCCAGGACUAGCUAAUUAUCAAUAUGGCUCACUCGGCCUCGACUGUCUCCAUUACUGGUAAUAGCUGUUUUCUCUGUUCCAAUCAGUCAGAGGAAUCUGCCUUGCUCAACAAUUAAAGAUAAGAAUUGCUCAUCUUUGUUGCACAAAGGGUAAAGGAAAUCCCAGUCUAGAUGGUAAGUCAAUGGAAAAAAACUGCAAGUGACUGGAAUGGAGGCGGCAAUAGAGUUUUGGUUGCGAUGGUUCUUUUGGUUUUCCCCCUUUUUCCUUUUUUUUUUCUUUUUUAAUUUAAUUAUUUAAUUUAAUUAUUUAAUUUGGUAUAUAGAAAGUUAUAAUUUUGCCCUUCAUAAAAAUAUUAAAAAUGUGGUCAAACUUAAUUUUUUGAUCAACUAACUGUAAAAUUGAUGUUUUCCAUCCUUUGAGGUUUCACCUGCAAUGUUUGAAAAGGGUUAGGGGUGACAGUUGAAACAAAUCAAAUGUUUGGGAAAAGUCUGCUAGUGUUUGAAAAGAUUUGGGGCCUCUACUGCAAUUAUCCCUUACUUAAAAGAUUUGUUUCCUCUGAUUUCAUCGUGUAAAUAUUAAGGUUGAACCCCAACUUUAAGGGCCUCCACCGCCUUGCCCUUGGAGUAUCGUGAGGGAGGUAAAUCACAGGAUGUACCCCCAGCAGACCAGGGAACGAGAGCUUGCCUGUACACUGGUACCCACAAAGAGUCCAAUUCCAUUCAUUUGCUGUGUAGGAUAGAAUGUUAACAAAAAACUGUGCAUAAUAUUGUCAUCAGAUUGACUGAAUGAGUGUCCCUCCUUCCUCAGGCUGGUGCAUUGGUGAAUGCUGGACCAUCCGUUUUUAUAUCAUCAACUGGUCCGAAUCCUAUAAUGGUUCAGGUGGUUUUUUAUUUGACAGAAUGUUUCUCCUUUUGUUUGUGCCACCUUCAGGUCAUAUGCUCAUUCUCUUCCUUACAAACCAUGCGCAGCCACUGCCGUUUCAACCAGGAGCAAAUUUUGGGGCAAAUUCAUUUGGAACUGUGCAGAAUGGCUCAGGAUUAUCGGGAGGAUCUAUUGGUUCCGGUUUUCUUCCAAGGAAUAUCGACAUCAGAGUACGAACAGGUGCUGUACCAAAUGUUAGCCAAAGGAAUUUUACUUCUUGACCUUCCACAAGGCCAGGAUUGUGGUGAAAAUAAUAAUAAACGGUGUAUGAUUUCUUAAUUAUUAUAAGAUAGAAGAACUUAUUUAUGGGGUUACAAAUAGUAAUAAUGCUAUCAAGCACUAAUGGUGUUAAGCACCAGUUUAAAUGUUAGCAUAUCAUAGGUCCUAUUAAAUGAGCCAUAAUUUUUGUACUUGUAAUUUAAUGCUACUAGUGCUAUCACCUAAACUGAUGUUAAAUAUCAGUGGUGCUAAUUAGCAUUACUCUAAAAGAAAAGAUUGUGUAAUAAUCUCAAAAUCAACUACAAAAGGAAAAUAAUCCCAAUAUUGGGAAAAUAUAAAAAAAGGAAUAAUAUCGCAAUCUUUUCAUAUCUCCAACAUCCAUACUCAAACUCAAUAUGGUGUCAUGGAAACCAAAUUGAGUUUGAAAACUACAAUGAUCCAAGCAAAUCAUCCUCUUCCAAAGGUUAAUUUCCCGCAGCUUGUUUGCGUUCGAAAGCGUGUCUUAUGCUUGCAUCACAUUUUAGAAAGUUAAGAAUUUGUUUUUUUAUCAAUCAAGCAUACUUUUGUUACCUUCCUCAUUAAUGAUCAAAUGCAAAUGUGAUGUUUGCAUAUCUAAAUACUGAACUCUGACUUCUAUCUGUUUUUCUUUUCACGCUACUUUUGCUGUCAGGUUCAUUGCUGUCCCGGAGAGAGGCAGCUGGUUUACAGCCUCAAGGACCUGGUGUUACUAUAUCUUCCACCAGUGGGAAUUCUGGUCAAGAGGCUGCCGUAGGACUAAACCCAAAUACCUCUACUCAGGAUUCUGAAGUGCGGACAAUUCCUCUCAGGACCAUGAUUGCUGCUGUUCCUGCUUCUGGUGAACAUGGUUCUGAUUCACCUCAUGGUUCAGUCGGAAUGGUAUACCCUGUUUUAGCUAGAGUUCAAAAUGUAACUUCUGGAAAUUCGAAUGGCAUAAGAGCUUCUCAGGAAUCAGAGCAACAUCGUGGUCAGGAUGCUGACACUGAACAACAGACAAUGUCCGGUUCU